AGGAGGCAGCAGUGGGGAAUCUUGCGCAAUGGGCGAAAGCCUGACGCAGCAACGCCGCGUGUGUGAUGAAGGUCUUCGGAUCGUAAAGCACUGUCGCGAGGGACGAAUAAGGGCCGGGUUAACAGCCCGGCACGAUGACGGUACCUCGAGAGGAAGCACCGGCUAACUCUGUGCCAGCAGCCGCGGUAAUACAGAGGGUGCAAGCGUUGUUCGGAAUUAUUGGGCGUAAAGCGCGUGUAGGCGGCUUGGCAAGUCGGAUGUGAAAGCCCUCGGCUUAACCGAGGAAGUGCGUUCGAAACUGCCUGGCUUGAGUACCGGAGAGGGUGGCGGAAUUCCCGGUGUAGAGGUGAAAUUCGUAGAUAUCGGGAGGAACACCAGCGGCGAAGGCGGCCACCUGGACGGAUACUGACGCUGAGACGCGAAAGCGUGGGUAGCAAACAGGAUUAGAUACCCUGGU
rnacentral:rRNA from 1 species